CCUCCUCGUGGUCCGGCCACCUAGAAGCUGCAGGAUGUCCAUACAGUAGUGAUUCUGAGUGUUGCCGGGUGAGGGCCCAGCCCCCAGGGAGCCUGCAGAACCCAGCCCACCUGGCCGUGCCCACCACCACUCCCUGAAGUCAACCCUGCUCCCCCACAUCCGCCUCUAACACAAUGCCUGUGCCGUCUCCAGUGUGAGGGAUCAUAUGCUUGACUUCCCAGGAAAGGAAAUUUGGGUUUAUUUAGGUCCAGAUUGCUUUAAGUAGUAAAGAAAUUAGCGUUAAUGAAACUGACACCAUCUGGAACUCAUUAUGCAAAUGAAUUAAGUCCGACCUGAAAAUAUCCCAUGCUUCCUCUUAUUUAUCACGGAAAUGUAUAGACGACCAAAGCCGCGUGGGCAUACUUGGGAUGAUUCCUUCACUGAAUUUUACCAUGUAAAUGACAAUGUACCCUUCUUCGCCUACCUUACACAUUUUUCAAGAUUCAUUGUGACCAGUAUACCUGUUUAAGAAAAAAACUGUUAAUGUAUAAUAUCUAUAUAAAAACAUUUAAUAUUAACUUUGGUUAAGAAAAAUAGAACCCUUUAAGACUUAAGUUACGGAGAGGCAGAGUGAGGUCUUCCAUCGCUGGUUCACUCCCCAGAUGGCCUGAGCUGAUCUGAAGCCAGGAGCCAGGACCUUUUUCUGGGUCUCCUGUGCAGAGGCCCAAACACUUGGACCGUCUUCCACUACUUUCUAGGCACAUUAGCAGAGAGCUGGAUUGGAAGUGAGCAGCCGGGACUUUGAACCAGCUGGCACUGCGGGUGACGGAUUUACCCACUACGCCACAGCGCCACAAGGGUCCCGUCUUUGAGCUGCUCCAUGCUAAUGUGCCUGGACAGGCUUCAGAGGACGGCCCAGGUGCUUGGCCCUUGAUAUCCUAUGUGGGAGACCUGGAUGGAAUUCGAUGCUCCUGGCUUUACCCUGUCCUAGCAAUUCGGGGAGUGAACUGGCCAAUGGGAAACCCCUUUAUCACUCUGCAUUUCAUAAACCAGUCUUUAGACAGCGCUCAAGGGAUCUAGAAAUGAUUAGCGGUCAGGCACCAAGACCCGGGUUUCCAGCCCCCAGCACAAUAGCAUAGGGAGUCCACGCGUUAGCCUAAGCGCCGGACAGCAGAAUGAGCCCUGGUGAAGAGCAAGAUAGGGAAAAAUCCAGAGAUGCCACAGCCACAUAGCGGGAGCAGGCGGCCACCCCACCCUGUGCUAGUGCGGGCAGAGCCAUGGUGGAGCACAGACCAGGGCCUUGUGAGCUGGAGCUUGCCAGGAUAUUGGAGGCAAAGAACUCACAGGGCAUCCCAUAUGGGCACUGACCGGUUUGAGUCCCGGCUGCUCCACUUCUGAUGUGGCUCCCUGCUAAUGCCACCUGGGAAAGCAACAGAAGACGGCCCGAGUGCUUGGGCCCCUGCACCCGCGUGGGAGACCCUGAAACUCCUGGCUCCAGACCGGCACAGCUCGGGCCACUGUAGCCAUUCAGAGAGUGAACCAGCAGAUGGAAGACCUUUCUGCCCUCAUAUGUCCCAAGAAAAGACGCAGGCAUAUGAAGGAGCUGGCAUAGGGCAGAAGGGCACAGGGAGAAGUCUGCAGAAGGCAGAUACUCACCACCAAGCUUCCGACGAGCACCAAUGCCCGACGCAGGGGCAAAGAGGACGGUUAGGGCCCCGCCAGCUCAUUUAUACACUCAGGGUCCAGGGCGGCCCCAGCACCAGCCCAGAGGGAUUCCUCCCAGCUCCACCCACCACACCCUGCAGCUGGCCACCUGUGCUUACUCUCAAUCCUUAUGUGAAAACCAAGCUAAGGGUGGGGAGGAGUGUCCCAUCGCCUCCUGCAGACACCCAGGGUGGAGUGGCUAUGCCAGGGGUGAGCACAGGAGCUUGGGCACCGAAGGGAGCCGGGCCCACCGAGUCUGCACCCUUGCCAAGCUCCCGGGGACAAAGGCGGCCAGCACACGAGGCUCAUCAAAGGCAGGGGAUGGGGCAGGGCCAGCCUGGUAGGUGAGAAGCUAAGGACGGGAACCCUCGGUGUCAAUUUAGCUCCCUCUUCAGAGGCCAGAGUGCACCCCCGUGUAGAACUACGGUUGUAUGCACAUCCAGGCCCCAAGGGCACUCUGUUGAGGGCCUGCUGUGGCUUUAGGGGUCGUCAGAAAUGUUUAAGCUUCUUUUGAAGUCACCAGGAAAUGUCAGAUUACACACACUUAGACGCCUGCAGGGGCCAACCAGAGUCGGGGCUAGGCUUGUGUUCCAACCCUAUUGACUUUUAAAAAAGGUCAUUGACUUUCCAAAGCUUUGCUUCUCCAUUAAAAUUAAAUUCCUCCUCCAUCAUUCAGAUGCUGCACCCUGGAAUUCAGUUGCCUAUGGGUCAAAAAUGUCUGCAAAAAGCCUGAGCGGUUCCGGUCCAUUGUUCCCUGUUGCCGGACACAGCCCCACUCUGCAAAGGGACUGGAGCCUCGGUGGGUGCUGGUAGCUGGGGGGGGGGGGAGGCCUCCUGGAACCAGCUCCCUCCACCUCGGGGAACUGUAGGACCCCUCCUUCCUGGCUCUAAUGCUUAGCAGUGAUCAAGUUUUGCUCUCAAAACUAUGUACUUGGUUUAACCCGGAGCCUACACAAAAGGGAAGGUAUACAGCCCAGGGACGUAAUUAACACCUAACGCUUUGCUUUUUAACUGGAAAAGAACCGCUGGUGUGCCGGUGUGACUUGAGUUCUUCUGGUCCACUGACAGGUCAAGCUGCACGGUGAAAGGGAUAGGGCAGGUGUCAGGAUCAAGAUGGCUUCACUUGGGGCUGGGGUUGGGGGUUAGGCAGCUGCCUGGGACACCGGUGUCCCACACUAGAUGCCCAAGCUCUGCCGCCUUCCCAGGCGCAUUCGCAGGGAGCUGGAUCGAAAGCAGAGCAGCCGGGAUUUGAACCGGCGCCUUUGUAGGAUGCUGAUGUCGCAGGCGGCGGAGUAACCCACAGCGCCACAGUGCGGGGCCCCCAUUCACUCCUUGUCCACUGCCAGCCCCACCUAACACUUGGGAAAACAGAAUGGCGGCUGGAAAUCACGGGUGGAGGAAGAGACACGUGUACCAGGGUGUGGCGGGGCUCCGGGCUGGAACUGGAGUCAGGUACCAGCACAACAGGGCCGGGCCCUCCUUUGCCUCGGGUAGGGCCCGCAGGAGUUUCGGUGAGAUCCUCCCGUCUCAGUCUUUCUUAUGCAUGGGCCCUCCCUAGUCUCUGCUAAUCGCUUCAUUCUUUCCAUGGUCUCUUAUGCAGGCUCUGGGGGUCUGCGGGCUACGGAACUUUAAGAAUUGAAAAUCUCUGGCCAGGAGGAGAGGUGUAGAAUGUUAUGGUUUUGGAGAUUUUCGUUCCACACCUAGAAUUCCACUCCUGAGGGGUGUUGCGUUCUGACCCUGUCCUGUGUGUGUGUUUAAGAUGCCACAACCGCGUGUGCAGACUCUUCUCUGUGUUUUCUCAAAGCCACCUUCCUUUUUAUCUUUAAAAAAAAAAUUAUUUUCCCAUUUAUUUGUAAGACUGAGAGGUCUUUCAUCUGGUGGUUCACUCCCCAACAGCCAGGGCUGGGCCAGGCCACAGCCAGAAGCCAGGAGCUGCUUCCGGGUCUCCCACGUGGGUGGCAGGGGCCCAAGCACUGGGGCUGUCACCUGCUGCUCCCCCAGGUGUUGCCAGCAGGGAGCCGAGUGGAAGUGGAGCUGCUGGGACCUACUGGGAUGAUGGUGCCUGUGCAGUGGCUGAAUGCGAGCGGUGGAGACCAGCGUGGGGCGAAGGAAGUUGACACAGCUGGGCAGUGCGGGUGGUUGAGCUGUGAUGUGCCUGCGCUUGCCACUGUCGCAGGAAAGCUGGGUUCCUGUGACCACAUGGCCCAACCACUGCCAUCCUAAUGGGAUUCGCUGCUCCUACUUCCCUCCUGCCCCCCACCCUGAAGGUUUAAGAGGACCUGUUCCUGAGCACAUGGCUUGCUCUCUCCUCGUUCUUUGCCUUCGCCCCUUCCCUCCGGUCUGUUGGGUUCCCCCCAAUAAACCCUUUCCAUGCUCUGGUGUUUGGUGUUUUUGUGGCAGCCUUACAGUGUCCAUGGACACGAUGGUGACAUAAGGGAAAUUUUAUUUAAGUAAGAAAAAUAAAGACACCCGGAAAAAGCUCCUGGCUUCGGAUCGGCACAGCUCUGGGCUUCGCAGCCAUCUUGGGAGUGAACCAGUGGAUGGAAGACCUCUCUCUCUCUGCCUCUCCUCUCUGUGUAACUCUGACUUUCAAAUAAAUAAAUAAAUCUUUUAAAACGUGUUCUAACAGUGUGAGAAAGGUCCAUUGUCCCCUUAUCAUCCAUGUACCCAGCCUUUAUGACGUGUAGCUCUGGAGACACAGAAAGGCCUGCAUUUGUGACGAUCUUGCAGGUCUAACAUCCACCCACACCGUGGGCUGCCUCUCUCUAGGCACAGAUUCACCGGGUCAGCUUCCCCGUGGUGGGUCCAGGAGAUGCAGAUGGACAGAUUCUUUGAUUGUCAUACUCACACCUCAUGGGUGCAAGAUGGCUGCCACAGCUCCCUGCAUCCCAUCCACGUACAAGGCACAAGUCCAUAGGAGGAGGAGCCAGCCUCCAGCUUCCGAGGAGGCAGCCAGUUUCCCCUCACAGAAUCGGGUCCCGUGACCAGCGACCAUCUCCCUCAUUCUUAGUCCCUACCGGCAAGCCACAUACCUCUAGCACGGAUGUUGUGGGGAUCAGAGGUGAGGUGUGCCAGGAAUAAAAAUAUGCUUUACAAUAUUUAUUGCAGAGGAACAGAGGGGGCUCCCACUCAUUGGUUCACCCCACCACUUGAGCUGUCACUCUGCCUCCCGGAGCCGGCAUCAGCAGGACGCUGGGGUCAGGAGCCGGAGCCGGGUAUUGAACCCUGGUCCUCCCCUGCUUCUUCACUGGGCCCUUCAUUUCCUUCUGCCGUUUCUCAACCUGUCUUUCCCGCCGCCAGCCCCACCCCAGCCCCCACUUCCUGAACGGCUGCACAGGUUGCCAUGACAACGGCUAGAAUUUUUAUUAGGGGAGUUCAAGCCUGAGACACGGCUCCUGGCGGGGGCCCGGGCUGUAAUGGAGGAUGAAGUGAUCGUGAGAAAUGAACCAGAGGACACUUUAAUAAUGAUGACGAUGAUGGGAACAUACUGGAAUAUGUAGAAUCGAAAUGCUGCGCCUGGUGAUUGACUUCAGAUGUGAAGAUGACGAAAUUGACUUCCUACAAUUCUGAUAAUCACGCAAUAACAAUGACAGACUGCUGAGGACCUAGUGUUCUGUGACUGAUCCUCCUGGUGGAGAGGAGCCCCCGUGGCUGCCCGGAGAACAUCAGUGGUGACACUGAGGACACAGUUACAGGGCCAGCAAACAUCCAUGUGGCUUACAGAGGCAGGGAGGAUGCGGGCGAUGCAGCGUCUGUCCCGAGUGCAGCAUCUUUCCCCAGCCCUCACCUCAGCCCCGAGACUUACCUUGAAG